rnacentral:rRNA from 1 species
UACGUAGGGUGCAAGCGUUGUCCGGAAUUAUUGGGCGUAAAGAGCUCGUAGGCGGUUCGUCGCGUCGGCUGUGAAAUCCCGAGGCUCAACCUCGGGUCUGCAGUCGAUACGGGCGGACUGGAGUUCGGCAGGGGAGACUGGAAUUCCUGGUGUAGCGGUGAAAUGCGCAGAUAUCAGGAGGAACACCGGUGGCGAAGGCGGUUCUCUGGGCAUGUUCUGACGCUGAGGAGCGAAAGUGUGGGGAGCGAACAGG